rnacentral:siRNA from 1 species
AGGGAUGCAACACGAGGACUUCC